UACGUAGGGGGCUAGCGUUGUCCGGAAUCAUUGGGCGUAAAGAGCGCGUAGGCGGCCAGAUAAGUCCGGUGUGAAAGUCAAAGGCUCAACCUUUGAAAGCCGAUGGAUACUGCAGGGCUAGAGUCCGGAAGAGGCGAGUGGAAUUCCUGGUGUAGCGGUGGAAUGCGCAGAUAUCAGGAGGAACACCAAUAGCGAAGGCAGCUCGCUGGGACGGUACUGACGCUAAGGCGCGAAAGCGUGGGGAGCGAACAGG
rnacentral:rRNA from 1 species